rnacentral:piRNA from 1 species
CUGCUAACCUUAACACUUGUAUCGGU